AUUGAACGCUGGCGGCAUGCCUUACACAUGCAAGUCGAACGGCAGCACGGGAGCAAUCCUGGUGGCGAGUGGCGAACGGGCGAGUAAUAUAUCGGAACGUGCCCAGUCGUGGGGGAUAACGCAGCGAAAGUUGUGCUAAUACCGCAUACGAUCUAUGGAUGAAAGCGGGGGAUCGCAAGACCUCGCGCGAUUGGAGCGGCCGAUAUCAGAUUAGGUUGUUGGUGAGGUAAAAGCUCACCAAGCCUGCGAUCUGUAGCUGGUCUGAGAGGACGACCAGCCACACUGGAACUGAGACACGGUCCAGACUCCUACGGGAGGCAGCAGUGGGGAAUUUGGACAAUGGACGAAAGUCUGAUCCAGCAAUGCCGCGUGCAGGACGAAGGCCUUCGGGUUGUAAACUGCUUUGUACAGAACGAAAAAGUCUUUAAUAACACUAGAGGCUCAUGACGGUACUGUAAGAAUAAGCACCGGCUAACUACG
rnacentral:rRNA from 1 species